GUUUACGGCCAUGCCACCCUGAACAAGCCCAAUGUCUGAUCUCGGAAGCUAAGCAGGGUCGGACCUGGCUAGUACUUGAAUGGGAGACCACCUAGGAAGACCAGGUGCUGUAGGCA
rnacentral:rRNA from 1 species